rnacentral:sRNA from 1 species
GUACAGACAGGGUUUCACCGUGUUAUCCAGGAUGGUCUCGAUCUCCUGACCUUGUGAUCCACCCGCCUUGUCCUCCCAAAGUGCUGAGAUUACAGGCGUGAGCCACCGCACCCAGCUAAAUUACUGUUUUUUAAAAAUUUGAAAAAAACCACUGAGUUUGGAGCCAGAAAAGCAGGGGUCUACUCCAACCUUCAUUAUCUACUUCCUGGUCCUCCUUGGCAAGUUCCUGGGCCCUCUGGCCUUCAGUGGCUCAUCUGUAAAAUGGGCUCUUCACCCUCCUAUUUGACCCACAGAGUAGGAGUGGCUGCCUCUUGGUCAGCCCGGCACAGCUGCUGGCCGCGAGCGGCAGGUUUGCCUGAUAAUUCUUCUUGUCCAUAGUAGAGGCGGGAUGUGGUAACAGAGACCAAGACUGUGGAGUUGGUGAUUGUGGCUGAUCACUCGGAGGUGAGCCUGCUGGCCCCUGCACAUCCUCCUCCCCCUGCACUGCCCUGCCGCCUUUCAUGUCACCUCUCUUGGCCUACAGGCCCAGAAAUACCAGGACUUCCAGCACCUGCUAAACCGCACACUGGAAGUGGCUCUCUUGCUGGACACAGUGAGUGCUGGACAGAGCAACCCCCACCCCAGGCCCCUGACCAUGACAACCCCUCUUCUGAGCCCCAGCUGUCUUUCAGUUCUUCCAGCCCCUGAAUGUACGAGUGGCACUAGUGGGCCUGGAGGCCUGGACCCAGCGUGACCUGGUGGAGAUCAGCCCAAACCCAGCUGUCACCCUCGAAAACUUCCUCCACUGGCGCAGGGCACAUUUGCUGCCUCGAUUGCCCCAUGACAGUGCCCAGCUGGUGACUGGUACUUCAUUCUCUGGGCCU